rnacentral:rRNA from 1 species
AAAGCGGCGGACGGGUGAUUAACGCGUGGGUAACCUACCCCAUACACAGGGAUAGCCAUUGGAAACGGUGAUUAAUACCUGAUAACACAUAAUGGUCGCAUGACUAUGAUGUCAAAGAUUUAUCGGUAUGGGAUGGACCCGCGUCUGAUUAGCUAGUUGGUGAGGUAAAACCUUACCAAGGCGACGAUCAGUAGCCGACCUGACAGGGUGAUCGGCCACACUGGAACUGAGACACGGUUCAGACUCCUACGGGAGGCAGCAGUGGGGAAUAUUGCACAAUGGGCGCAACCCUGAUGCAGCAACGCCGCGUGAGCGAAGAAGGUCUUCGGAUCGUAAAGCUCUUUUCUUAGGGAAGAAAAAUGACGGUAC